AGUGAACGCUGGCGGUAUGCCUAACACAUGCAAGUCGAACGGCAGCACAGUAAGAGCUUGCUCUUACGGGUGGCGAGUGGCGGACGGGUGAGGAAUACAUCGGAAUCUACUUUUUCGUGGGGGAUAACGGAGGGAAACUUACGCUAAUACCGCAUACGACCUACGGGUGAAAGCAGGGGAUCUUCGGACCUUUCGCGAUUGAAUGAGCCGAUGUCGGAUUAGCUAGUUGGCGGGGUAAGGGCCCACCAAGGCGACGAUCCGUAGCUGGUCUGAGAGGAUGAUCAGCCACACUGGAACUGAGACACGGUCCAGACUCCUACGGGAGGCAGCAGUGGGGAAUAUUGGACAAUGGGCGAAAGCCUGAUCCAGCAAUACCGCGUGGGUGAAGAAGGCCUUCGGGUUGUAAAGCCCUUUUGUUGGGAAAGAAAAGAAGCAGGUUAAUACCCCGAUGUUCUGACGGUACCCAAAGAAUAAGCACCGGCUAACUUCGUG
rnacentral:rRNA from 1 species